rnacentral:lncRNA from 1 species
CAGAUAUUGACAAUAGUGGAACAAUAGAUUAUGGUGAGUUUCUUGCUGCUACUGUGCACUUAAACAAGUUAGAGAGAGAGGAGAAUCUAGUAUCAGCGUUCUCUUUCUUUGACAAAGAUGGAAGUGGUUACAUAACCAUUGAUGAGCUCCAACAGGCUUGCAAGGAAUUUGGUUUAAGUGAACUCCACCUCGACGAGAUGAUCAAAGAAAUUGAUCAAGAUAAUGUAAGUUUCCUUCCUCUUUCUUUUGUGAUGUUAAUUUUGGCCUUAGAGAGGCAAAAAAAUGGAGAUCGCUUGUUUAUGUUUUGGUGGUUGGACAAGAGAUUUAUUGGUCCAUAUGAGGCUUGUCACUUGGCAUGAAAAUAUUGUUUUGAUUCCACUUUUGCUGCAGCCUAAAUUUGCUGUUUGCAGUUUUGCAAUCACCUGCUUGAAGUAAUGAACACAAAAGUAUUUUGAGUAGAGAUAAAACAUUGGGUUAUUGACACACAUGGCUGGACCCUCUGCUUGAAAUCUGAAACGUGGAUGUAAGUUGAAUUUGGAUUUCGGCAUUGCUUCACAUUUAGUGGAGCUGUGAUCCAUGAGGUGCCACUAAAUGAAGUUGGAGCCACAUCAAUCAGUGUAGCCUCCCUCAGCACCUAAUGUUUUCUUCUUGUGUGUUAUGUUGAAUACUUUAGCUGGUAAGGCACAUGGUAAAAGGAGUUUCAGAUCAAUUUUGAGGGAAAUUCAACCAUCCCUUUUAGGUAUCAUGCCUAUUAUUCUAAUCCAAUAAACUCUUGCCACAUCAUAAAAUAAUUUAAACUCUUAAAAUCAUCUAAGUGUUGAUAUCUCUUUUUAACACAUUGAACGAUGAAUUGAUAUUCACACCCAAAAGGUACUACAGAACUCCCUCUAUUUUGUAUCACCUAAUAAUGUUUAUGAAAAUUGAACAUCCUAUAUAUCAGCUCCAGAGACCCUGAAUAUAAAAUAAAUUUGUCUUCCAUCAUCGAAGUCCCAAUUUAAAUGAAAAUUGAGCUCGGCGUCUUUUUUUGGGUAACAUUCUUGAUUGUAUCUUGUAUUUAUUGCCACUUGCUACAGUCCUUAAAGUUGGGAUCCCAAGCUUUUAUAGAGUUUAGGGAGUUAGAUAUUUAUGACGCUCUUAGGCUUCUGCUACUUCAAAACACCUCUAUUCUUGAUCUAUUUACCUGAAGAUACAGGUAUUAUGCUUCUAUGUUUGGUGUUCACAUCCUGAGAUUUGCUUUUCCAAAUGUCAGGAUGGACAGAUUGACUAUGGAGAAUUUGCUGCAAUGAUGAGGAAAGGAAACGGUGGAGUUGGCAGGAGGACCAUGAGGAAUACUUUGAAGCUGGGAGAAGCCUUGGGAGUUUAUCAAAACAGCGAAUAAAUUAUGUGAAGCUCAUCUGUAUCAACUUUUCUGAUUUUGUUUUUGCUAUGAUGAGCCUGUCUUUUGUCGCUGAUAACUGUAUAAGGUUUAGGAUACUUUCCUUUCCCUUCCUGCCUCUCUGAUGGCUGAUCCUCCUGAAAAUAGGCACAGCACUUUUGAUAUCUGUAACCGG